AACGCGAAGAACCUUACCCAGGCUUGAACUGCAGGUGACAUCCUACGAAAGUAGGCUUCCGCAAGGACACCUGUAGAGGUGCUGCAUGGCUGUCGUCAGCUCGUGUCGUGAGAUGUUGGGUUAAGUCCCGCAACGAGCGCAACCCUUGUCUUCUGUUGCCAUCAGGUCAAGCUGGGCACUCUGAAGAGACUGCCGGUGACAAACCGGAGGAAGGUGGGGAUGACGUCAAGUCAGCAUGGCCUUUAUGUCUGGGGCCACACACGUGCUACAAUGGCCGAUACAAACCGUCGCAAACUCGCAAGGGUGAGCUAAUCGGAGAAAGUCGGUCUCAGUUCGGAUUGUCGGCUGCAACUCGCCGGCAUGAAGUUGGAAUCGCUAGUAAUCGCGGAUCAGCACGCCGCGGUGAAUACGUUCCCGGGCCUUGUACACACCGUACGUC
rnacentral:rRNA from 1 species